GACGAACGCUGGCGGCGUGCUUAACACAUGCAAGUCGAACGGAAAGGCCUCUUUCGGGGGGUACUCGAGUGGCGAACGGGUGAGUAACACGUGAGUAACCUGCCCUUGACUUUGGGAUAACUUCAGGAAACUGGGGCUAAUACCGGAUAGGAGCUCUUGCUGCAUGGUGGGGGUUGGAAAGUUUCGGCGGUUGGGGAUGGACUCGCGGCUUAUCAGCUUGUUGGUGGGGUAGUGGCUUACCAAGGCUUUGACGGGUAGCCGGCCUGAGAGGGUGACCGGCCACAUUGGGACUGAGAUACGGCCCAGACUCCUACGGGAGGCAGCAGUGGGGAAUAUUGCACAAUGGGUGGAAGCCUGAUGCAGCAACGCCGUGUGCGGGAUGACGGCCUUCGGGUUGUAAACCGCUUUCGCUCACGACGAAGCUUUGUGUGACGGUAGUGGGUAAAGAAGCACCGGCUAACUACGUG
rnacentral:rRNA from 1 species